UUGAUAUAAUUUCGGCUGGAACCAUGUAUAAAUAGUAGGGCAAAAAUCUUGUAAAGGGCAAGUGAAUUCAUGUAAAAGCUCAUGACACAAUUACACUUUCUCAACAUAUUUUGUGAUUUCUUUCGAUAAAAAAUUCCCUUUUUUCUUAAAGUUGGCUUAAAAUUAGCCUUGUGAAUUUUGACGUCAACAGAAUCCAUGAAAAUUUAAUACAAAUUAAACCAAUCUCAAAACAUGUUCAUAAGAAUAAGAAAUCUAAAUCUAGAAUUGUUUAACAAUGAAAGAACAUAUUUAAGCAAGAAAAGACAUGAAAAUUCCCAAAUCUAAUCGAGUUCCUUCGUGGCUUCACCAAUAAGUUUAGUUCUCCAUGAAUUUCUUGAGCCAAAAAUCAAAGAAAAGUGAUAGAGAAUGAAUAAUAGACAUUCUGGUUGAGAUUAGGGUUUAAAACGUGUGAAAACCGUGUUUCCAUAAGUGGUUGAGUCGAUUAAGGAAACAUAAAUUUUGGCCUCAAGGAAUAACCAUGCGACCGCAUGGUUAUAAGUGUUGUAGUCACAUGGUAGAAACAUUUUGGCCUCUGGAAUUCCCUGGAGGUGCUAGUGCGACCGCAUGGUUAUUGUCAUUUUCUCCGCCUGACAACUUUUAGUAUUUUAGCCAUAACUUUUCCUUCUGAUAUCCGAUUGAGAUGAUUCAAGUUGCAUUUGAAAGAUAUCUCAAAGGGAUACAACUCUGAUUCAGACAUCAUCUUCUAGAUCGAUCAUUUUCCAUAUCAAAAAUAGGUCUAAAUAUAAGGCUGAAAAUCGAUGCGCAACUUUUUUGAUUAGGAAUUGAUAUGUGAAUAUGUUAUGAUCAUAUUUCACUUCCUUUGACUUCUAAUUGCACCCAAUUGACCCUUAGCAUUCUUGAAUCAUCAUUCCAUCGGUCAUCUCAUCUUUGAAUUAUUUUCAACUUCGUCCCUGAACUUUCGCUUUCUUUCAUUUUGGUCCCUUUUCGCUUGUUUUUUCCGAAUUUCAUCUUUUUCACCAAAACGCAACCUAAAACAUAGGAGUAAUGAGUGCAUUUUAACAUAAUAUAAUUGCAUAAUGCAAUAAUUAAAAGGAAAAAAUAUCAUAUUUUACACUCUUAUCACAUAUACAAUUUCCAUUCCACCAUCUUUCAUGUUAGAGUUCGGCACAUUGGGCACACUAACAUCAAAAUCCAACCUAUUUUCCUCUUUCUGAUCAUUAAAAUCAAAUCAAUGUUGAUAUCAAAGUCCCAUUUGUUCUCACCAUUCACAUGAAGAAGACUUGAAUACACAACAAAAUUAGAGAAACCUCAUUUCCAACAAAGAAAUCAUUUUGAUUCAUUGCUCCAACACCCACUUCUCCAUUUUUAAUAUCACACCCUCUUUUCCACCACCCAUUGUCUCAAAACUCCUGUAGUUUUCACCAAUCCCAUCAAAACACCUAAACUUCUUAAAUCCCAACAUUUCGUUUCUCCUUCAGAAUUUUCACUAACUCUCUUCAUCUAAGUCAUGAAAAUUGAAAAGUGAAUCAAAACUCAGCAAAAUUCAAGGACUUUGUUUAAAUCAUAGAAAAAAUUCUUAGGUGCAAACCCCUGCAUUAGAAAACCUUUCUUAAACCCAACUUCUCAUUUCCUAUGUAAAUAAUCAUACAUGAAUUAACCUUAGAUAAAUCAAUU
rnacentral:lncRNA from 1 species